rnacentral:rRNA from 1 species
AAGGAUGAAGGCCUUCUGGGUUGUAAACUUCUUUUAUCUGGGAAAGAAAACUAAGGUUUCUACUUUAGCCGACGGUACCAGAGGAAUAAGCACCGGCUAACUCCGUGC